AACGAACGCUGGCGGCAGGCUUAACACAUGCAAGUCGAGCGCCCCGCAAGGGGAGCGGCAGACGGGUGAGUAACACGUGGGAAUCUACCCAUCCCUACGGAACAACUCCGGGAAACUGGAGCUAAUACCGUAUACGCCCUCUGGGGGAAAGAUUUAUCGGGGAUGGAUGAGCCCGAGUCGGAUUGGCGAGUUGGUGGGGUAAAGGCCUACCAAGGCGACGAUCCGUAGCUGGUCUGAGAGGAUGAUCAGCCACACUGGGACUGAGACCCGGCCCAGACUCCUACGGGAGGCAGCAGUGGGGAAUAUUGGACAAUGGGCGCAAGCCUGAUCCAGCCAUGCCGCGUGAGUGAUGAAGGCCUUAGGGUUGUAAAGCUCUUUCGCCAGGGACGAUAAUGACGGUACCUGGAUAAGAAGCCCCGGCUAACUUCGUGCCAGCCGCCGCUGUAAUAC
rnacentral:rRNA from 1 species